rnacentral:lncRNA from 1 species
GGCGUCGGAGAAGGAUUCCGGCUUUGAAAAGGCGGACCGGUCGACAAGCUCCGCCCAGGGACGGCGCUGGGAGAGACCUUGACGGACAGAUUCAGUGAUAUGGUUAACGAAGGCACGGAAGGCAGGGGUGGCAAUGGGUGGCUGCGAGGUGGCGGAGGUGGCGGUUAUUGUGGCGGGGGCGGUUUGAGGGGUAGAAAUGGGAAGUACAGGGGGAGAAGGAGACGCCAUUUUCGUUGUGGAAAAUUCUGUAGGGUGGAUCUCCUUCGAUCUUUUGGGUUUUAGGUUAGGAGAGAAGGAUUAAAUAUUAAGCGAGGGAGGAUUCGGCGAAAAGGGACGAGAGGUAUGACUUCAAUUUUCC